rnacentral:rRNA from 1 species
GAUGAACGCUGGCGGCGUGCCUAAUACAUGCAAGUCGAGCGAACGGGCGAGGAGCUUGCUUCUCUGAUGUUAGCGGCGGACGGGUGAGUAACACGUGGAUAACCUACCUAUAAGACUGGGAUAACUUCGGGAAACCGGAGCUAAUACCGGAUGAUAUUUUGAACCGCAUGGUUCAAAAGUGAAAGACGGUCUUGCUGUCACUUAUAGAUGGAUCCGCGCUGCAUUAGCUAGUUGGUAAGGUAACGGCUUACCAAGGCAACGAUGCAUAGCCGACCUGAGAGGGUGAUCGGCCACACUGGAACUGAGACACGGUCCAGACUCCUACGGGAGGCAGCAGUAGGGAAUCUUCCGCAAUGGGCGAAAGCCUGACGGAGCAACGCCGCGUGAGUGAUGAAGGUCUUCGGAUCGUAAAACUCUGUUAUUAGGGAAGAACAUAUGUGUAAGUAACUGUGCACAUCUUGACGGUACCUAAUCAGAAAGCCACGGCUAACUACGUG